GUUUCCUUCUGCCUUAGCUCGUUCAACUGUCUCAUCGACUUUGGAGGUCGUUCGGUUAUAUACAGAAAUAGGGAAGCCUUUUUCUGCAAUGUUGAGAGCCAAGUUUUGACCCAUUACAGCCAGACCAGCAAGGCCAAUUCUUGUAAGUUGUGCAGGAGCAGCCAUGCUUUCACCUGAAUAUUUUCUCUACCGAAGGAGAUGGAUCGAGAAAGAGGCAAAUCUCAAGAAAAUAG
rnacentral:misc_RNA from 1 species